UACGUAGGGUGCGAGCGUUGUCCGGAAUUACUGGGCGUAAAGAGCUCGUAGGUGGUUUGUCGCGUUGUCCGUGAAAACUCACAACUCAAUUGUGGGCGUGCGGGCGAUACGGGCAGACUGGAGUACUGCAGGGGAGACUGGAAUUCCUGGUGUAGCGGUGGAAUGCACAGAUAUCAGGAGGAACACCGGUGGCGAAGGCGGGUCUCUGGGCAGUAACUGACGCUGAGGAGCGAAAGCAUGGGGAGCGAACAGG
rnacentral:rRNA from 1 species